GAUGAACGCUGGCGGCGUGCCUAAUACAUGCAAGUCGAGCGAACAGACGAGGAGCUUGCUCCUCUGACGUUAGCGGCGGACUGGUGAGUAACACGUGGAUAACCUACCUAUAAGACUGGGAUAACUUCGGGAAACCGGAGCUAAUACCGGAUAAUAUAUUGAACCGCAUGGUUCAAUAGUGAAAGACGGUUUUGCUGUCACUUAUAGAUGGAUCCGCGCCGCAUUAGCUAGUUGGUAAGGUAACGGCUUACCAAGGCAACGAUGCGUAGCCGACCUGAGAGGGUGAUCGGCCACACUGGAACUGAGACACGGUCCAGACUCCUACGGGAGGCAGCAGUAGGGUAUCUUCCGCAAUGGGCGAAAGCCUGACGGAGCAACGCCGCGUGAGUGAUGAAGGUCUUCGGAUCGUAAAACUCUGUUAUUAGGGAAGAACAAAUGUGUAAGUAACUAUGCACGUCUUGACGGUACCUAAUCAGAAAGCCACGGCUAACUACGUG
rnacentral:rRNA from 1 species